UUACACGUUCCGUAUCCAAACCUUUACUACUGGUGUGUGGGUCCUUCAAUGAGGCCUGCCACCUGUUAAUCUUUUUUACCGCUUGACAUAGUGGUAAUUGUUUCGGUGAGGUGCCUGGCUUGCCUUACAGCUCGGCAGGUACGCACGACUAGUUGGUGUGCAGGAGGUUUGUUGUUGGAUGGUAGCAUUGUGUUUCUGUGUGUAAUACUGCUACCAACCUCUAUUACAGCCAAUGGCCCCAACUGGUCCGGUCGUAUCCCGAGUGGCAGGAAAGUGCAUGUGCUGUUUUCUUAACACAAACGUAUGAAUGUAUGUGAAUUGGUGUGUUGGAACAGCUAUUGUGCAAGGCCUAACGAUAGUGACGUGGUGAAUUGUGUUUCGCGUCCACGCCUCACCAUGCGUCUGUGUCUUUAUGUUUUUACACUUUGACAAAUGCAGGUUGUUAGUCCGUAGGGCAACGCCUGCAUUUUAAAAUCGUGUUGUUUGCGUUCACGGUGGUGUGCAUAAUAAGCAUCAUCUGUGCGUGGCGAUGCGUGGCUCGCGCAUUUGUACAUGGUUGCCUUGCCUCGGUGCCUGUACCGGUGUUGUGGGUCUAUAAAGACUGCUCUAUCUUCCACUUAGGUGGAGAUUGGUGGUCGCUGUACAACUGUAUGCGGUGGAUCACUCGGCUCGUGUGUCGAUGAAGAGCGCAGCCAACUGUGUGAAUUAAUGUGAAUCGCAGACUGCUUUGAACAUCGACAUCUUGAACGCACAUUGCGGCCAUGGGCUUGCCUGUGGCCACGUCUGUCCGAGGGUCGGCUUAUAAACUAUCACUGUGCAUAAUAAGCAGUGGCUUGGGGGACUGCCAGCUAGCUUGUGGGUCUUUUGUUGCUCCAGUGUGUGCACGGGUGUGUUGUGUAUUUGUUUGGUAAAUGCAUGCUCGUGUCGCGGGAAUGAUGAUUGGCCUGUGGGUUAGACUGCAAUGGCUUCCCUUUAAUGUAGCUGUUAUGGCGUGUGUUUACCCAUUUGGCGUAUAGCUACGUAUGGUUCAGUGUUGCCCUCUGUUGCUGCGGUUUUUGUCGUCGUGAAUGUCGUCGCUGCUAUUGUCGUUGCCCUUGCCUACAAUUAUUGGUGUAUUUGUAAGAGUGUAGGUGGGGGUGAGGCAGUGUGGAUGAUGGCACCAGCGACGAUGACUGUGGCGACUGAGGCUGACCUAACCGUGGCUUAGUGUGUGCAAUGUAAUUUGAGCACGCUAGGUGGUCCUCGUAGUUUGCAGAGGAGCAGCCAUUGAGCCUUCGUAUGCCAGUAAAGUCAAAUGUUGAGUUAACACCUACAUCUUUGAUGAUAUUGACCUUUCCUGACCUCGGAUCAGUCGUGAUUACCCGCUGAACUUAAGCAUAUCA
rnacentral:rRNA from 1 species